rnacentral:rRNA from 1 species
UACGGAGGGGGCUAGCGUUGUUCGGAAUUACUGGGCGUAAAGCGCACGUAGGCGGCUUUGUAAGUUUAGAGGUGGAAAGACCCGGGGCUCAACUCCGGAACUUGCCUUUAAGACUGUCAUCGCUGAGAAUUGUGGAGAGGGUAAGUGGAAUUCCGAGUGUAGAGGUGAAAUUCGUAGAUAUUCGGAAGAACACCAGUGGCGAAGGCGACUUACUGGACACAUAUUGACGCUGAGGUGCGAAAGCGUGGGGAGCAAACAGG